ACAAUUCCGCUCAUCUCUAGUUUUAGCACGUAGUUGAUUGUUUCCACGCUCCACGUUUUUAUUAUAUUGUUGAUAACAGCGGUCGCAUCGAAAUGCGAAAACUGUGCGCGUUGAGGAAAUAGAUGCCAUAUGUAGAUACUCGGAGAUUGGCAAGGCAGCUGGAGCUUGUCUUUUGGACAGUUUGAAGGCGAGAAUUAUAAUGCACAAAUGUAUUUAUUUCUACGAGUACAUAUGUACAUGCAAAUGUCAAAACUCAAGGGCUAUCAUUAGAUACGGACAAUUAGAAACAAAGCCUCAUUAUUUGCAGCAGCAACAACAACAACAAAAACAACAACAACAACGGCAGCAUCAGCAGUUGAACCGCAAGCGAAUCACUUGAAAUGAAAUGCAGCCCAUAAAUAAAUCACAUCACAUUGGACCGCAUCUGUUUGGAUGGGAUCGAGUUUAUGCAACUGCAAAAUAAUCCAUUGUAAAGUGUCGAAAAAGUGCAAUUGAAAUGCAAAUCAAUGCAAAUCGAUACUUGAAUCAUCAUCAACAGCAACAGCGAUAAAUGAUUCAUGCCCCGCACGCGAGCCACAUUCAAAUGCAAAUGUGAAUGCAAAAAUUUGCAAGCAAACUCGAUUUUGGGUGGGUCUUUUAGGAGCUGAGAGCCGGCGGCUAAGGCUACCCGCUGAUGUGCGAACAAUCAAAUCAAAAUAAAAUGCACCGCACCACAAUAAAAACUGCAGUGCAAAAUAAACACAACAAACAAUGAGAUACACACAUAAGCACAAAGGUGAAUGCGGUGGCAGAUUUUUGCACUUCCGGUUAACUGUUGCUAAUUCGAUUAGAGAGUUAGAAACAAAGUUCUGAAAGGGCAGCCAAGGCAAGCGCACACGUUGUACACAUUUGUUGGCGCCGAUCUCAUUUUGGACUGGCAACUUAUGCAAAUGCUGCUGUGUGAUUCAUGUACGAGGUCUGCCUGGCAAGUUUACUCCUUGGGGACAAAUAAGUAUAUAGACAGUCGAGAUUCUCUAAAUUGAAUUGAAGAAUUUUUAGUUCGUUAAUCGUUUCACACGCGUUGCUCUUUUGUGCUUGUAUUGCCAGCACCGACGGCCUCUCACAUUCAAAUUCAAACUCAAUCAUAUCCUGUCAUAAGGCUCAAGCCUCUUUUGUGUGCCCAUCAGAACUUGUUUGUGCUUUAGCUUAACCCCUUUCAGCAUUGUGCCCUCGCUUCCUGAACUUAUCCCAUACAUUGUCAUGCUAAUUGCCGGCCAUGAGAAGGCUGAGAUUCGAAUCUGAGAGUUUAUUUUUGCUAGGAGACAGUCGACAGUCAGGUAAGAUUGUCGCUGAUCAAAUUGAAUUUGUUCAGGAUUCGUUUAGUCAGUUUGUUCUUAUAUGUCUUUGCGUGAAGUUCUUGUUUGAACUUGUGCGUAUACUAGAGAACUAAACAAAUAACCGAAUUGUGUUUUAGUAUAGUUUAACGAAAUGUUUAAAAUAAAUACGAAGUAAUUAUUUAAUUCUGCUUUAACGUUAAUAAAUUAUAGUCUUCGAAAAUUGA